rnacentral:rRNA from 1 species
GCAUAUUAGUAAGCGGAGGAAAAGAAACUAACUAGGAUUUCCUUAGUAGCGGCGAGCGAACAGGAAAUAGCCCAGCACUGAAUCCCGCGGUUGUAACGAUCGCGGGAGAUGUGGUGUUCGGGAGGUAUCGCUUUCUCGUCGUCGCCACUCCUGUCCAAGUUCGUCUUGAACGGGGCCGUUUUCCUGUAGAGGGUGCCAGGCCCGUAGCGUCGGAGCGAGACGGCGAGAGGUACGCUCCUCAGAGUCGGGCGCAGAGAGUGCAGCCCUAAAUGUGUGGUAUACUCCAUCUAAGGCUAAAUAUUACG